rnacentral:snRNA from 1 species
CUUUGCCCAGUGGCAGCAUCGUAGCCAAGGAUGUGUAUCUGCGGCACAAUUAUUGGUAAUUGAAAAC